rnacentral:misc_RNA from 1 species
GAUGAAGAACUCAGCGAAAUGCGAUAAGUAGUGUGAAUUGCAGAAUUCAGCGAAUCAUCGAAUCUUUGAACGCACAUUGCGCCCUUCGGUUAUUCCUUAGGGCAUGCCUGUUCGAGCGUCAUUUCAACCUUCAAGCCUGGCUUGGUGUUGGGCGCUGUCCCGCCUCCGCGCGCGGACUCGCCCCAAAUGAAUUGGCAGUCGCACCCUCCGAGCCGCGAGCGCAGCACAAGUCGCGCGGGCGGAACUCUGGGGGGACGGACGCUCCACAAGACCCUUUCUCAGUCUUGACCUCGGAUCAGGUAGGGAUACCCGCUGAACUUAAGCAUAUCAUAAGCGGAGGA